GAUGAACGCUGGCGGCGUGCCUAAUACAUGCAAGUCGAGCGAAUGGAUUAAGAGCUUGCUCUUAUGAAGUUAGCGGCGGACGGGUGAGUAACACGUGGGUAACCUGCCCAUAAGACUGGGAUAACUCCGGGAAACCGGGGCUAAUACCGGAUAACAUUUUGAACCGCAUGGAUCGAAAUUGAAAGGCGGCUUCGGCUGUCACUUAUGGAUGGACCCGCGUCGCAUUAGCUAGUUGGUGAGGUAAGGGCUCACCAAGGCAACGAUGCGUAGCCGAACUGAGAGGGUGAUCGGCAAAACGGGGACUGAGACACGGCCCAGACUCCUACGGGAGGCAGCAGUAGUGAAUCUUCCGCAAUGGACGAAAGUCUGACGGAGCAACGCCGCGUGAGUGAUGAAGGCUUUCGGGUCGUGAAACUCUGUUGUUAGUGAAGAACAAGUGCUAGUUGAAUAAGCUGGCACCUUGACGGUACCUAACCAGAAAGCCACGGCUAACUACGUGCCAGCAGCCGCGGUAA
rnacentral:rRNA from 1 species